rnacentral:rRNA from 1 species
CCUACGGGAGGCUGCAGUGGGGAAUAUUGCACAAUGGGGGGAACCCUGAUGCAGCAACGCCGCGUGGGUGAAGAAGUACUCCGGUAUGUAAAGUCCUGUCAGCAGGGAAGAAAAUGACGGUACCUGACCAAGAAGCCCCGGCUAACUACGUGCCAGCAGCCGCGGUAAUACGUAGGGGGCAAGCGUUAUCCGGAUUUACUGGGUGUAAAGGGAGCGUAGACGGCAAGGCAAGUCUGGAGUGAAAGCCCGGGGCCCAACCACGGGACUGCUUUGGAAACUGUGUUGCUGGAGUGCAGGAGGGGUAAGCGGAAUGCAUGGUGUAGCGGUGAAAUGCGUAGAUAUUAGGAGGAACACCGGUGGCGAAGGCGGCUUACUGGACUGUAACUGACGUUGAGGCUCGAAGGCGUGGGGAGCAAACAGGAUUAGAUACCCUAGUAGUC